AGAGACCGAAAAUAAAUGCACAGGCUGCCCCACCCUCCUCCCUAACUGUGAGAGAGCACUAUAGGGUUUCCAUUUGCCGUCCACAGGAAUGCUGGCCUGUGAGCUGAAAGCCGGGAAAUGCUUAAAGACUACGUUAGCGCGUCCCAGCUGAUAAUUUAUAUUUGUACAGCUCUUAGUAAAAUUUAGACAAUUUCUUUACUUGGGAACAUCUAUAGAUUAGGUGUCUUUCUUUCCCCAUCGCACCCUAAAGGAAGUUAAAUG
rnacentral:lncRNA from 1 species